AAGCCUGCGCUUGAAGAUCUUUAU
rnacentral:siRNA from 1 species